rnacentral:lncRNA from 1 species
GAAAUCAUUUAAAAAAUGAGGAAGCUAGAGGGCAGCUGUGUGGAUGGCGAGCCGUAAUGGAGAGGAUGGAGAGCCAGACCCAGAGAUGGGAGGUCCUGGGUUCAAAUCUGACCUCAGACACUGCCUAGCUGUGUGACCCUGGACAAGUCACUUCACCUCCAUGGCCUAGUCCUUACCAUUCUUCUGCCUUGGAACCGAUACACUGUAUGGAUUCCAAGAUGGAAGGUGAGGGCUUAAAAGAAGAGAUGAGGAAGCUUAAUUCCAGAGAAGUUUAAACUUGAGAGUGAGAAGGCUCUUCAGAGACCAGGAAUGGCCUCACUUAAUAAAUUUGGAAACUGAGGCACAGGGAGGGGAUUUGACAUAGCCAUUGCUAGGCCAGAGUCAGAAUUAUCUAGUCCAAGCCUCUCGUUUUAUAGCUGAGGAAACUGGAGUCCAGAAAAGGGAAAUAACAGCACUUUAGGAGCUUAGACAUCUGCCUGAAUCCUCAGCAUUUAGCGCCAUGCCUGGCACAGAGAGGUGGUUAAUAAACAUUUGAUGGAUGGAUCAGAUAUCCAGAGGGAAAAGACCCCAAAGUCUUGGCAUCUAAAGAUGCCAAACAUCUAGUCCAACCUCCUCAUUUUUACAGCCGGGGAAACCGAGGCCUGGAGAAUGAGCAAGACUUGCCUAAGAUCUCACCAGGAAUAAAAGGCAGAGCCAGGUAGUAUUUCAAGCCAGUCUCCUGACCCCAAAUUCCAUCUCUUUCCUCAAAUUCCCAAAUUCCAGAUCUUUCCAUCGUAUCCUGCUGCCUUCGUGAGUCUAAACUAUUCUAACAUUUAGUGUCCCAACCAUUGUCCAUGCUGGCUCCCUUUCUGGCACUCCCCAGCCCCUGGCCAUGGCCCUUUGUGAGCCCAUCGAGGUCCUGGCAUCGUGGGUGAAUCCAGGCGGGUGAGACAAGAGCAGGAGUGACGGGGUGGCAAUCUGCAUCACUGAAGGGGAUGCCCGUGGCCAGAGGACCAGAGACCACCCUCCGUCUGCUCUUGCCAUCUCGGCCCUCCCCCGCUUUGGCCGCUGAUUUCCUCGGCCACAUCUGCCCCAAGGCGAGCGGGAAGGCUCACUCUCUCCGCCGGUUCCCAAGAGAGGAGCUUCAGCCUCAGGGCUUGGCCAGAGGUCUUCUACCACUAGAUUGGCCCAUCACUUAACUGAGCUCACCACUGGACUAACACCAAGAGGUGAGAGAAUGAGAACUAACGUCACCCCGGAGAAAGGAGGUGUGUGAACACUGGGAUCCUACUGGGCUGAUGUGGUAGGAGUCGGAAAAGAACACAUUUGCUCUCCCUACUGUGUCCUCACCUUUAUCCGGUGCUUUUCAUUGGGCUUCAAAUUAAAAGCAGGCUCUGGAUUGUCCAGCAGCCUCCCCAGCAGAAUGAAUGAGAC